rnacentral:tRNA from 1 species
GCGAUCGUAGCUCAGUUGGUUAGAGCGCCACGUUGACAUCGUGGAGGUCGGCGGUUCGACUCCGUCCGAUCGCACCA